rnacentral:rRNA from 1 species
UACGUAGGGGGCAAGCGUUGUCCGGAAUUAUUGGGCGUAAAGCGCGCGUAGGUGGUUCUUUAAGUCUGAUGUGAAAGCCCACGGCUCAACCGUGGAGGGUCAUUGGAAACUGGGGAACUUGAGUGCAGAAGAGGAAAGUGGAAUUCCUAGUGUAGCGGUGAAAUGCGUAGAGAUUUGGAGGAACACCAGUGGCGAAGGCGACUUUCUGGUCUGUAACUGACACUGAGGCGCGAAAGCGUGGGGAGCAAACAGG